rnacentral:tRNA from 1 species
UUUUUUUAUUACUUUAUAAUAACUCUCUUUUUGAAAAAAUAAUCCUUAUUUACUCCCUUUCAAAGAAAGGGA